UACGUAGGGGGGCAAGCGUUGUUCGGAAUUACUGGGCGUAAAGGGCGCGUAGGCGGCAUGGCAAGUCGGGGAGUGAAAGGCCUGGGCUCAACCGAGGAACUGCUUUCGAGACUGCCAAAGCUAGAGUGCGGAAGGGGCAUCUGGAAUUCCCAGUGUAGCGGUGAAAAUGCGUAGAUAUUGGGAAGAACACCAGUGGCGAAGGCGGCUCG
rnacentral:rRNA from 1 species